GACGAACGCUGGCGGCGUGCCUAAUACAUGCAAGUCGAGCGGACGAAUCGAAAGCUUGCUUUUGAUUCGUUAGCGGCGGACGGGUGAGUAACACGUGGGCAACCUGCCCUGUAGACGGGGAUAACACCGAGAAAUCGGUGCUAAUACCGGAUAACACGAAAUGUCGCAUGACGUUUCGUUGAAAGGCGGCGCAAGCUGCCGCUACAGGAUGGGCCCGCGGCGCAUUAGCUAGUUGGUGAGGUAACGGCUCACCAAGGCGACGAUACGUAGCCGACCUGAGAGGGUGAUCGGCCACACUGGGACUGAGACACGGCCCAGACUCCUACGGGAGGCAGCAGUAGGGAAUCUUCCGCAAUGGACGAAAGUCUGACGGAGCAACGCCGCGUGAGCGAAGAAGGCCUUCGGGUCGUAAAGCUCUGUUGUUAGGGAAGAACAAGUAACGCAGUAACUGGCGUUACUGUGACGGUACCUAACGAGAAAGCCACGGCUAACUACGUG
rnacentral:rRNA from 1 species